GGAAUUAUAGUUUAAUAAAAAUAUUAGCAUUGGAAGUUAAAGCUUGGGUUUUAAUCCCAUUUUCCGAA
rnacentral:tRNA from 1 species